rnacentral:rRNA from 1 species
UAGGGAAUCUUCCGCAAUGGGCGAAAGCCUGACGGAGCAACGCCGCGUGAAUGAAGACGGUCUUCGGAUUGUAAAGUUCUGUCAUUUGGGACGAGCGACCUUGAGAGGAAAUGCUCGAGGUGAGACGGUACCAAAGGAGGAAGCCCCGGCUAACUACGUGCCAGCAGCCGCGGUAAUACGUAGGGGGCAAGCGUUGUCCGGAAUGACUGGGCGUAAAGCGCGCGCAGGCGGUCUUUCGCGUCUGGGGUGAAAGGUCAGGGCUCAACCCUGACAUGGCCUUGGAAACGGGGAGACUUGAGGGUCGGAGAGGUCAGGGGAAUUCCACGUGUAGCGGUGAAAUGCGUAGAUAUGUGGAGGAAUACCAGUGGCGAAGGCGCCUGACUGGACGAAACCUGACGCUGAGGCGCGAAGGCGUGGGGAGCAAACAGG